AUGAAUUAAGAGGGACUCGAUGCUGGCUCUUAACCGGGGCAUGUGCUCGUCCUUCCUUCUUCACAAUCAACUGAGUGCACCUUUUGUAUGCCUUCUAUGUAACGAGCACGUUUCGCAGCAAUGCGAGUUAGCUGGGAUUGGACUCGUCCUCUCCUGCAAUGCUCUCUUGGAGGCAUAUGUUUUCACACACUAUGUAUGUUAUAGAAUGUCUUAUUUGAGGGCUUUGCGGCCUUUAAAACAAUUA
rnacentral:misc_RNA from 1 species